AGGACGAACGCUGGCGGCGUGCUUAACACAUGCAAGUCGAACGGAAAGGCCCUUCGGGGUACUCGAGUGGCGAACGGGUGAGUAACACGUGGGUGAUCUGCCCCGCACUUUGGGAUAAGCCUGGGAAACUGGGUCUAAUACCGAAUAGGACCAUGGCAUGCAUGUGCUGUGGUGGAAAGCUUUUGCGGUGUGGGAUGGGCCCGCGGCCUAUCAGCUUGUUGGUGGGGUUAAGGCCUACCAAGGCGACGACGGGUAGCCGGCCUGAGAGGGUGUCCGGCCACACUGGGACUGAGAUACGGCCCAGACUCCUACGGGAGGCAGCAGUGGGGAAUAUUGCACAAUGGGCGCAAGCCUGAUGCAGCGACGCCGCGUGGGGAUGACGGCCUUCGGGUUGUAAACCCCGUUUCAGUAGGACGAAGCGCAAGUGACGGUACCUACAGAAGAAGCACCGGCCAACUACGUGCCAGCAGCCGC
rnacentral:rRNA from 1 species